UACGAAGGGGGCUAGCGUUGUCCGGAAUUAUUGGGCGUAAAGAGCUCGUAGGCGGUUUGUCGCGUCUGCUGUGAAAACUCGGGGCUUAACCCCCGGGCCUGCAGUGGGUACGGGCAGACUAGAGUGCGGUAGGGGAGACUGGAAUUCCUGGUGUAGCGGUGAAAUGCGCAGAUAUCAGGAGGAACACCGGUGGCGAAGGCGGGUCUCUGGGCCGACACUGACGCUGAGGCGCGAAAGCCAGGGG
rnacentral:rRNA from 1 species